AAUUGAAAUGCGAAUGAUAGAGUGUAAAGUUCAUAAGGAAAUAAUGGGAACACAGAGAGUUGAAUCAAAAUAGAGGUAUUAAUGAGGCACAUAGGUAGAAGAAGUUGGGAAGAAGGCGGAGGAGGAAAGACAAAUCUCCAUUAAUGCUUUGUACCACCACAACCAACUAAAUAUUACAACUCAAUCAAAACUGUGCUAUCCAUCUGUCAACCUCCUCUUUUCUCCCAUGCCUUCAUUUAAUUACUUCCACUCCAAUUCUGCUUUCAUCUCUUCUUUCUUCUUUCUUCUUCUGUCAAACCUCAUCUGUCAUUUUUCAUCCCCCCUGCUGCUGCAAUUCUCCACCAUUUUUGCAUGCCACAUUACCAGAGUUUCAUGCAAUAAUUGACUCCUGCUGGCAAACAACAAAGGUCGGCCAUUGUUUUGACUAUUUGAACAUCUCUUAUUAUAUUCUUUUUGUUUUGACAAGUAUUCUUGCUGCAUACUGCUGAGAUUGCAGUUAAGGGUAGAUGAACAAACUUGCAGCAGGCGGAUAGACCAAUGCAGAUAGAUUAUUCAC
rnacentral:lncRNA from 1 species